AUUGAACGCUGGCGGCAGGCCUAACACAUGCAAGUCGAACGGUAACAGGAAGAAGCUUGCUUCUUUGCUGACGAGUGGCGGACGGGUGAGCAAUGUCUGGGAAACUGCCUGAUGGAGGGGGAUAACUACUGGAAACGGUAGCUAAUACCGCAUAACGUCGCAAGACCAAAAAGGGGGACCUUCGGGCCUCUUGCCAUCGGAUGUGCCCAGAUGGGAUUAGCUAGUAGGUGGGGUAACGGCUCACCUAGGCGACGAUCCCUAGCUGGUCUGAGAGGAUGACCAGCCACACUGGAACUGAGACACGGUCCAGACUCCUACGGGAGGCAGCAGUGGGGAAUAUUGCACAAUGGGCGCAAGCCUGAUGCAGCCAUGCCGCGUGUAUGAAGAAGGCCUUCGGGUUGUAAAGUACUUUCAGCGGGGAGGAAGGGAGUAAAGUUAAUACCUUGGCUCAUUGACGUUACCCGCAGAAGAAGCACCGGCUAACUCCGUG
rnacentral:rRNA from 1 species